UGAGAUGUUCGGUUAAGUCCGGCAACGAGCGCAACCCCUGUGAACUGUUGCUAACAUUUAGUUGAGGACUCUGUUCAGACUGCCCGUAUCAAACGGGAGGAAGGUGGGGACGACGUCAAGUCAGUAUGGCCCUUACGCCCAGGGCUGCACACGUACUACAAUGCCCAGCACAAUGAGAACCGAGACCGCGAGGUGGAGGAAAUCUGUAAAACUGGGCUCAGUUCGGAUUGAAGGCUGCAACUCGCCUUCAUGAAGUUGGAAUCGCUAGUAAUGGCACAUCAGCUACGGUGCCGUGAAUACGUUCCCGGGUCUUGUACACACCGCCCGUCACAUCAUGGAAGCCGAUCGCACCCGAAGUAUAUUAAUCAAUAGUGUCCUAAGGUGUAGUUGGUAACUGGGAUGAAGUCGUAACAAGGUAACCGUAA
rnacentral:rRNA from 1 species